UACGAAGGGGGCUAGCGUUGCUCGGAAUCACUGGGCGUAAAGGGUGCGUAGGCGGGUUUUAAGUCAGGGGUGAAAUCCUGGAGCUCAACUCCAGAACUGCCUUUGAUACUGAAGAUCUUGAGUCCGGGAGAGGUGAGUGGAACUGCGAGUGUAGAGGUGAAAUUCGUAGAUAUUCGCAAGAACACCAGUGGCGAAGGCGGCUAACUGGUCCGGAUCUGACGCUGAGGUGCGAAAGCGUGGGGAGCAAACAGG
rnacentral:rRNA from 1 species